AGACCAUGGUGUGGACACUGUCUUUGCAAUUUCUUAAACCUAUACCAUGCCUCAUACAAAGAUUCGCCAUUAAAUUGAACAAAACUAGUAAUAUUAGUCAUGAGUUU